GGCUGCGUGGCACAACGGUUAGUGCGCUCGAUUGACCUUAGGCUUCUGCAUCGGUUUAAUCGGGAUAUGGCGGUUCGACUCCUCCCGUAGCCU